rnacentral:rRNA from 1 species
GAGUUAUCUGAACCUUCGGGGAACGAUAACGGCGUCGAGCGGCGGACGGGUGAGUAAUGCCUAGGAAAUUGCCCUGAUGUGGGGGAUAACCAUUGGAAACGAUGGCUAAUACCGCAUGAUGCCUACGGGCCAAAGAGGGGGACCUUCGGGCCUCUCGCGUCAGGAUAUGCCUAGGUGGGAUUAGCUAGUUGGUGAGGUAAGGGCUCACCAAGGCGACGAUCCCUAGCUGGUCUGAGAGGAUGAUCAGCCACACUGGAACUGAGACACGGUCCAGACUCCUACGGGAGGCAGCAGUGGGGAAUAUUGCACAAUGGGCGCAAGCCUGAUGCAGCCAUGCCGCGUGUGUGAAGAAGGCCUUCGGGUUGUAAAGUACUUUCAGUCGUGAGGAAGGCGGCGUCGUUAAUAGCGGCGUUGUUUGACGUUAGCGACAGAAGAAGCACCGGCUAACUCCGUGCCAGCAGCCGCGGUAAUACGGAGGGUGCGAGCGUUAAUCGGAAUUACUGGGCGUAAAGCGCAUGCA